rnacentral:lncRNA from 1 species
CAAAGCUCAGUUGCUGUUAACAACAAUGCAUCAUGCAUCAGAUGAUGCAGAUGAGGGUAGGAGAAAGGGAUUUUUUUCUUUCAACCUUGUCAUGCAAUUUUUUUCUUUCAUCUCUAAUUUAUUUCUCUUUGUUGGUUUUAAGUAGAUAGGUUAACUCUCCAUCUUUCUCUCUCAAUUUCCCCCAUUUUUCUCACUGCUUUAUUAGUGAUGUUUUUUUUUGUUCUUUGGCAGAAAAUGAGUUGCCACAGCCUAGCAGCAUGGGAAACAAAGCCCUUACUGUCAAAGGGUAAGUUUAGUUCUAUGGAUAAUGAUGAGAUUGAGAGUUCACAGAACCUGUCUAAACAACCCAAUCUUGUUUCAUAUCUAAAAACCAAGCUCAAUGCUCAAAUUCAAGUCUUAUUCAGCCAAAGAUCCUAGCUUUCAAGCUAAAAACGAUGAAAUAAAAUCAAGUAGAACUCAGCAAAUCACAAGAGCCCAAUCAAUACAAUAGAUAAUUGAACAACUCCAGCUGUUGGCUGUGUUUUUGUCUGCAAGAAAAUUGUCUGCAAGAAAACUGGAUAAAAUUGUAAAAUAAUAAAUGAAAAUAUGGGCAUUUUUGUCUGCAAGAAAUCUAUUCUGCUGGCUGCGUUUAAGCUGGAGGUUUUACCUCCAGCUGGAAAUGAGGCUGCCAGUGAGAUUGAAUUCUUCAGCUGCACCUCACCGUUGUUUCUCCAAACGUCAUCACAGUGCAGGGAAAAAGAAUAUUCCCUCAAAAUCCCAUCUCACCAUGGCUGCGUUGGCAUCCAAAGGAAGC